UACGUAGGGACCAAGCGUUGUCCGGAUUUAUUGGGCGUAAAGAGCUCGUAGGCGGCCCUCCACGUCGGAUGUGAAAGCUCAGGGCUCAACCCUGAGAUGCCAUUCGAUACGGGAAGGCUAGAGGUAGGUAGGGGAAAGUGGAAUUCCUGGUGUAGCGGUGAAAUGCGCAGAUAUCAGGAGGAACACCGGUGGCGAAGGCGGGUCUCUGGGCAACAACUGACGCUGAGGAGCGAAAGCGUGGGGAGCGAACAGG
rnacentral:rRNA from 1 species